UGGCGGACGGGUGAGUAAUGUCUGGGAAACUGCCUGAUGGAGGGGGAUAACUACUGGAAACGGUAGCUAAUACCGCAUAACGUCGCAAGACCAAAGAGGGGGACCUUCGGGCCUCUAGCCAUCGGAUGUGCCCAGAUGGGAUUAGCUAGUAGGUGGGGUAACGGCUCACCUAGGCGACGAUCCCUAGCUGGUCUGAGAGGAUGACCAGCCACACUGGAACUGAGACACGGUCCAGACUCCUACGGGAGGCAGCGUG
rnacentral:rRNA from 1 species